ACACUCCUACGGGAGGCAGCAGUGGGGAAUAUUGCACAAUGGGCGCAAGCCUGAUGCAGCGACGCCGCGUGGGGGAUGAAGGCCUUCGGGUUGUAAACUCCUUUCGCUAGGGACGAAGCUUUUUUGUGACGGUACCUAGAUAAGAAGCACCGGCUAACUACGUGCCAGCAGCCGCGGUAAUACGUAGGGUGCGAGCGUUGUCCGGAAUUACUGGGCGUAAAGGGCUCGUAGGUGGUUUGUCGCGUCGUCUGUGAAAUUCUGGGGCUUAACUCCGGGCGUGCAGGCGAUACGGGCAUAACUUGAGUGCUGUAGGGGUAACUGGAAUUCCUGGUGUAGCGGUGAAAUGCGCAGAUAUCAGGAGGAACACCGAUGGCGAAGGCAGGUUACUGGGCAGUUACUGACGCUGAGGAGCGAAAGCAUGGGUAGCGAACAGGAUUAGAAACCCCGGUAGUCC
rnacentral:rRNA from 1 species